GCCGCGUUCGUCUAGUGGCCUAGGACGUCAGAUUCUCAUUCUGGUAACACGGGUUCGACUCCCGUACGCGGUA
rnacentral:tRNA from 1 species